AUCUAUCUUUUUACGCAGGUUUUCUCCAAGACAGAAGCUGCUUCGGUUCUUAUAGGAAUAUGUGCGCACAUGGAGGAACAUUCUGGGAGGAGCUCUAAGGAAGAAAUAGGCCAGAGUAGUUUUCUCACUAAGGCAUCUCGUCGAUCUUACUCCGGACUGGAGCUUUUAGGCAUUCCGAAAAAAAGAAGUAUCCUGGUGUUCGUCGCAAAUUACAUUGAUGCAUUUGCUUAGCAUAGACCAGGUUUUUUUCCCGAACACCCUCCCUCUAAGCGCCAGGCAGGCUUCAGAUAUAUACACGGAAGGAUGGUCAGCUUGGGGAAACUCCAGACCGAGAUGUCCAAGUGCGGUUCCCGGCCGAUGCGGAUGCAUUCCUCAAGUUUAGAGCACCGAGGUUGUUGCCUAUUUGGCAAUACGACUGGAUUAGUAGCCAACAUUGGACUAGCAGUUUUUUUACGGAAUGCUAAAGUACUUUAUGAGGAUGGAAGAUAAAGUCGACGAGCUUUUGUGCAGAAUAUUUGUCAACCUAGAGGCACCGAAGCCUCGGUACCCCCUGUUUUGUAGGAGUGUCUGCUGCCGUUUCCUGCUCCUGCUAAUGCCAUCUACGCUACCUACUGAUGCCCUUGCUUGGUGCCUUAACCGGAAGUAUAGGUGUGAAGCAUGAUAUUCACAUCUGUGGCAAGGAUGCCGCCCUGCAGAUGUAUUCAGUGGCCGUGAAUGCUAUCAAGUAGCUGUAUGUUGCAGGGUUUCCUGAAUUCGAUCAUCCACGGCCUCUACCGGACUGUCAAUGGUCGGCUUGAUGUUGAAUUUCCGCCAAAAAUCAAUUUCCAGGAUGCAUUUCCUGUUGAGAUCUGGAGCAAUCACUAUAGAUGUACACGGAGGGCACGUUCAUUGAGCUGUCUCUUUUCCAAGCUAUCGAUGCUACGAAUGGCCAGCUCGUAUUCCAGUUCAUCAAUUGUUAAGUGCGCACAGUUCAUUCCAUAGUACAACACAUAAAGAUGGGACAUAUCCAUGUUGAUAAAAUUAAGGUAAAAUUUAAAUUAUUUAAAUAUGUAUUCAAAAUACAGAAAUAUACAGAGAAAACCAAGCAACCUAAUACUGCAAAAUAAAUAAAU